rnacentral:lncRNA from 1 species
ACCCAUUGAACAAUUUUUGCGAAUAUUUAUCGGAAUAUCUAAAAACAUUCUACAUCAAGAACACGUACAUAUGCAAGAGAAGGAAAAUGUAUUAGACAUAUCUUUGCAAAAUGAAAAUGACAAAAAUUAUGAAGAGGAAUUAUUUGUCGGACUACCUGAAACUGUUUGUUAUGAACAACAUAUAAAUAUGCAAAGAAACGAAAAUAUUCCAAAUAUAUCUUUGAUAGACAAUACUGG